UCUUCUUUCUCGUACUAAAUUGAUUUCUAUUAUUUCUGGGUUCUGAAAAUUGAUUAGUUUAUACGGGUGGGGUGGGCCAAUUUGGGUAUGUCAAAUGUGCCCAGUUUUUAUUCAAUCAAAUGCCAUGCCCAGAUUUUUAUUGGGGGAGGAAUGUGGAGGUAUUAUUGUGUGCCACGACUGGUACGCAUUGAGGGCAAUGAAAAUUUGAAAGAGAAAUAAAAAGUGAUUUGAGAUUGAAGGGAAUGAGGAAGACACAGUUAACUUCACAUCAGGCGAGCACACACAGAUUCGCAUACAUCCUUCACCUCCUCAAGAUGAACAUAAAAAAGAUGUAAUGGCAACUGUGGAGAUAGUUAACCUUAUGGAGCUGCCACCCAUUGUACUACUUGGUGAUUUAUUCACAACUGGAAGUAGAGACAUAUAUUAUCUACAUCCUCUCCUAGACCUGUGGAUGAAAAACCCGACCUCCCCAUGCCUCUCUUUCUGAACAGACCUCCCCACCCCUGCCCCCAGAACCAUCAUCAUCAACAAGGGCACCUUCUAUAGUGCACCAGUUGCACCCAUGCAC